CAAGGCGUUAUCCGGGAAUUACUGGGCGUAAAGCGCGCGUAGCGGUUUGUUAAGUCAGAUGUGAAAUCCCCGGGCAAAAAAUGGGAAUGGCAUUUGAGACUGGCAGGCUAGACUGUGUUAAAGGUGAGUGGAAUUUCAGGUGUAGCGGUGAAAUGCGUAGAGAUCUGAAGGAACAUCAGUGGCGAAGGCUACUCACUGGGCCAUUACUGACGCUGAGGUGCGAAAGCGUGGGUAGCAAACAGGAUUAGAUACCCUGGUAGUCCACGCCCUAAACGAUGUCAACUAGGUGUAUGGAGAAUUUAUUCUUUGUGUAUCGAAGCUAACGCGAUAAGUUGACCGCCUGGGGAGUACGGUCGCAAGACUAAAACUCAAAUGAAUUGACGGGGGCCCGCACAAGCGGUGGAGCAUGUGGUUUAAUUCGAUGCAACGCGAAGAACCUUACCUGGCCUUGACAUGUACGGAAGAUUGAAGAGAUUCGAUUGUGCCUUCGGGAACCGUAACACAGGUGCUGCAUGGCUGUCGUCAGCUCGUGUCGUGAGAUGUUGGGUAAAAUCCCGCAACAAGCGCACCCC
rnacentral:rRNA from 1 species